UACAGAGGUGGCAAGCGUUGUUCGGAAUUACUGGGCGUAAAGGGCGCGUAGGCGGCCAUCUAAGUCAGACGUGAAAUCCCCCGGCUUAACCUGGGAACUGCGUCUGAUACUGGACGGCUUGAGUAUGGGAGAGGGAUGUAGAAUUCCAGGUGUAGCGGUGAAAUGCGUAGAUAUCUGGAGGAAUACCAGUGGCGAAGGCGGCAUCCUGGACCAUUACUGACGCUGAGGCGCGAAAGCUAGGGGAGCAAACGGG
rnacentral:rRNA from 1 species